GCCCACCGCAGGGGCCCGGACACGGAUAGCUGCGGAGCGGAUCAGCUGGAUAGUGCCGCUGCAUGCCAAAACCCCAGCAGCC
ncrna:Rhodobacter sphaeroides WS8N Proteo-phage-1 RNA